GCGCCUCCCUAUUCAGGAAUCGGUGCACCCUGCGCCGUGGUGGAGGAAGCAUUCACCUGUCACCAAUUCUGGUUUGGAUCUCCCGAUUGCUUCUGCAGCCUGGUCUCCGCUCAUUCCUCCAAACCUUGCUCAUCUCAGAUGAGAGCAGAGGCGCAUCCCACAGAUCAGCAUGACUCAUACAGAGUGGACUUCUGUUCACCGUGGAGGAGGCAGCUCCGAGAAGGGAGUAGAGGGCUGCGGCAGCAUGAUUCAUGGGGCGGACUCAAUAAGCCGCCCGUGUGUGUGCUUUAUGAAGAGGUUUGGUGGGUCACCUCACUGUGGCUGCCACAGCGCCCUGUCUUUCACAAGCUCCUUGGAUCCGUGCUGUGGACACGAGCUGGGAACUCAGAAUCCAGGCUAGGCGUGGCCAGGUGAGUAGGCAGGUUCCUCUGAGCAGAAAGAAGGCGAGAAGAACCUGAGACACAGAGGACAUGAGGAACCACACUCUCAGGAUAAUCCAGAAGCCACAAACUGCUAACGUCACCAGUGCGUGCAGCAGGUGGAGCCAUGGCUGGGACACUGGGGACAUUUUUGCUGGAAAGACAAGUGAGGACCCAGGGAAGGCGGUGAGCACACCUUCCACGGUGCCACAGCAGGUGCUGCCAUUGUUGAGAUCAGCGGAGAGAUGACACUUGCAUCGAGGGAUGAAGGAAAAUGGAAGCAAAGAAGCCAAGAAGACGAGGCCAACCACAGACCAUCAAAAACCCCAUCUUCUUUGCACAUUUGUGUAAAUGAAAUACACUGGCAUCACCUCAUAUGUGUCCUCUUCUGAAAUUAGAAAGUCCGGUGAAGGACUUUGUUUUAAACCUUGAAAAUACAUUAAUCCUGUAAGUUAAUCCAGAGAAUUGUGGGUUCAUUUUGCAGGUUUUGUAGAAGGAUCAAAGAGCAGAGUUUGGAGGCUCGUUACUUUUCUAUGGUUUCUGAAGAAAACGUGAUUCGCACAUGACUUAGCUGUGCUGAAUUCAUGGGGAAUAAUGAUGCGUCGACUGUAUGUGAUUAUUUUUACGUCUGCAUUUUCUGCAUUUCUAGAAAUUAAUACAUGUGUUAAAAUAUCAGGUAAGAUGUAGCGCCAGAGCAGACCUGACGUGGUUUACCGCUGUGUGUGCAGCUUUCCAACCCCGCCCUGUCUGCAGGAGCCCUCAGCAACCGUGGGCCACAUCCCUGACCUCUCUGUUCUUUCCAGUUCUUCUCUUCACUACCCUGUACUCCCCAUGACUCAUAAGGUGACAAAUUUCCAUUAGUUCAGUUAAAAUGCACCAGCCAUAAUUCCCAAGAAAAAGAAAAGAAAACGCAUUGAUUUCCAAUGUCUUCUUAAAACACUCUAACACAUGAGAUGAGGAAAUAAUUAAAUAACCAGUGUGUGAGGGAAGAAUAUGUGUUUGAGAGAGUUUUAAUAGCAACAAAGAGUAUCAGUGCCCGGGCCCUCAGCUCUGGUAUGCGAAUGGCACUCCUGAUUACAACUUAGUGUAAGUAAUCGUUCAGUGUAGCAUCAGAAGGACAUCUGAAAGAGUGACAAAUUCUGCGUUUACACAUUGGGCCAGUUCCUAGGCUGAAGACCCCCUGUGAAUGGGGUCAGAUUAGGUCGCAUCAUUCAAUUGAAUUAGGAUUCCUAUUACAAGGAGCCAAAUUCCUUCAAGUGUCUUUCAUCAAAAGGCCAAUUUAUGCAUAUUGAGGUGACCUUUACUUUCACUCUUCCCUCUAAAGGAAGAAGAAAAGAGAAAUACCAGUGGGCUAGAUGCAUUUUGCACUGGCAGGAUCGCUCCUGUUGGUGUGAUCUGGAAUGCUCCCCGUCCCCAGCACGCCACUGUCCUCUCUGUCACUCCCAAGAAGGCGAGCAGGGUCAACCUCACAGAAAGGGUGCAGAUUAGCACGAGGUCUUUCAAAGCACCGGAGAGGUGUGAUUAAUCCUUUGAAAGUGUGAGCCUUUCUGACGUGGCAGCUGGACUCGUGGGGGACACAGCACAGGGCUCCACAGGCCUGAUAAGGAGGGUGCAAAGUAGAAUGCAACGAACCUCACGACCCAGACAUUAUUAGGAGAGGAAAUUAAUACCACCUUCAGGAGAUCUGUGGCACUUAGCGCAGCAUUGGGAAGGAGGAAGGAGGCCUUUAUGUCAGCUGCCUUGCGUUCUGAGCAUGGACACGUGCAUUUGCAUUUGGUAACAUGAAGAUGAAAUGUGUGGCUUUACAUUAAUGAAGGCCUUUCAGUUUUGGAAGGGACCUUGAGUGGGGAUUAUGGGCGGGUUUCUGAGCAACAUGUGCACUCUUGAAAUCUCCUGUCCUUUUCUCUCCAACCAUUUCAUCUUAGGCUUUAAUUACUUCCAAAGAUCUUUUUAGAACUGGACUUUUAGCAAGGGAAAUGUUUCGGUCUCUGUGCUAAUUUGCAUGGCGACUGGACACCACACAGUGCAGAUGCACACUGACCCCGCAGCCCCCUUUGUCCCUUCCACUUGUUGUGAUUCUAUCUGUUGGGGAUGAUGACAGGGAGGAUUGGGGAUGGGGAUGCCAUCUCCCCAUCUGGGGCCUAGGGUGCCCCUCACCUCCAUGCAGAGAUCAGAAGUGGAGACUGACUGCUCUUCGCCUUCCAUGUGUGUUGGAGGAGAGGCCACCCACCGUCCUGCUGGGCCAUGGCGGCCAACCAUCCUUAUGCACAGUAAUGUGGAGUCGUGGGGAGGGAGAAGCUCGAGAGUCUGGUCGAAGCCCUUCACCAAAGAAAGAAACUCCACCAUCAGAGACUUGGUGAGCUAAUCCAAGCCACGUAGCUAGUUCAUGGUAGAAAUGGAAGGAGAAGCCAGAUUUUUCUCAUGACGACAUCAAGUUUUAUUACUAUUUAAUUUUUCUUUCUGGGACCCUGCCCUUUCUCAUUUCAAUUAACCUUUUCCAGUCAGGUGACUAAAAUUAUUUUUAAGUGGUAAUGUCAUAUUGAGUAAUAUUUUCUCUUCUGAAAAAUAACCGUGCAUUCCUAUACUUAGAAGAGACAAAAGGGGCCAAGGGUAAAGGUGCCCAAGAGAGGUGGGCUCGCCCGUCCUUCCUGAAACUCUUUCCAGGGGACCCCAGACACAAGCGCCUCCAUCUUCCCAGUCCUCCGCGCAGCCUCCGCCCCAGAGGCCUUCAUUCAGAAGGGAGAUUAAGAACCUCCAAGCAUUCUUCAGCCUCUUUUUACUCCACAGCGGUGAGGGGAUGAAUAUUGGGUCUGUUUAUUAUACAAAUUAGUCUGUUUCUUCUUCCCCCAAAUUUGUAGAUUCCAGGAGUGAACCUACAUGGAACAGAACCAAGUUUCUUGCUAAGAAGUCUGGAGAGUGCCUUUGUCAAACAAAAUUAAGCCAACAUAUAAUUGUCAUUUACUGUAUUCUUAUGGAAAUUGGACAUUAGCAUGUGUAUAAUUGAUCUCAAGUCCAGACACAUCAAAGACACGAAUCUAUGUAUCUAUGGGUUUUUAAUCUAAUUGUAAGGAGCUCCAUAUGUUAUUGCUCAAAACUUGUUUUUACUUGAUUUAUUUUAAUUAAAAUAAAUGUUUUAUAUUCCA